AGAUCUCAAAAGACUGAGUAUGUAUUUCAUUGUGAUGAUCUGAAAGUCAUUAAAUAUUUAUACAUAAAGGCUUUUUUUUUUUUUUAAAACCAAAUUUGAUAAAAAUACAGCCUGGAAGAAAGUAAGUCCAAAUCUAGUCCACCCAAGGACAGAAACAUUUUCUAUGGGAAUGAUAGAGGCAGAUAUCAUAGAAGAGUCUAGGCCUCACAUCAGCUCCAUAGUGGAACAAAGAGAAGGAGCUGGUUACAGUCACUGCUUUUUUAUAAAUUCCUGGAGGAACCAGAGCACUGUUGUUUGGCAUAACCAGUUAUAGUUGUGUUAGUACAUCCAAUAUUCCUGUUCUAGAAUAUUAACUGAAGGCCUCAAGAAGGUUAUAUGAAAACAAGUAAUUUGGAGUCUUCACCUGGGUCUAAACAACAUGGAGUGUUCCAAACAACCAAAGCAGAAGCCUAUGUUAGUGGGAUGCACACCUACGGGGCACACCUACAUGGACUACAGCUGCAUUGUGGUCUCCAGUCUGUGUCUAUGGGCAAGUUACAAAUUCCUCUAAACCAAUUUCUCAUCUGCAAAAUAUGGUUACAGUAAUAUCUGCCCUGUUAUCUUACUAGGUUGGUGAAAGGACUGAAUGAGAUGAACUACAUGAAAAUCCUUCAGGAAACAUUCCAUGCUGUGCAAACCAAAGGUUGAAUCCCCAGGAGCCCACUGAAAAUAUUCGAACCACUGGAGAGUGCUGGGGCAAAGGUGAGCAUCAGUUGAUGAGGAAGGUGUUUCCGUGUGUUGGGAAAGGUGUCAGCUCUCUUGGAGUGGAAAGCAGAAGAGCUGAGGACACGGGAGCCACUGUGUCGGAAUCUCGACAGGGUGUGUGAGGAUACCAGUGUGCUAGAAGCUGGCUAACUGGCCAAAUUUUGCUUGAGAAGCUCAGCACAGCACCCCGGAAGCUAGAUGAACCAUGAAGUGCUCUUCAAGGCUUGCGUGUGCUGAAGUCAGAAGACUAGGGAUGGUUGUGAGAUGACCUCUCUCAUCACAGCACCACCAAAGGCUGUGAAGUAGUUUUGUACAGUUCCAUUUUUAGCACCUGCAAACCAUACUCACUGGAAAAAAAGCAAGGCAGAAAACUGCUAGUGUGAAGAUGGCAGAAUGAGGCGAUCUCUGCUCACCCCUCCUCUCUGAAAUCAGCUUGGGAACACAAUAAGAAAACAAGGGGGAAGGAGCCGGGGAGAGUGAGAGAGAGAGCGAGAGAGAGCGAGACAGAGAGAACGCGCGAGAGAGCUGUAUUCUGAUGAAAGUAGGCUUGAUCUUCAACACCAAGCCACACUGGGGAUGUAUAUCAAACCAGAGGGAGGGAGGCCUCAGACGAUGGCUGCAAGGGCAGCACUGGGCAUCCUGUCCACAGAAAAAGUCACCACUGUAUUUCUGGUUCCUGAAAUGGGCACCUGGUGUAUGAGGCUGGCUGAGACUGUUUUUCUCUUUCUCCACAUUAUCUAACACUAUAAAUAAAAUGUUCGGAGCAGA